GUGAGUAGUUCAGAGUUUGAUCCUGGCUCAGGACGAACGCUGGCGGCGUGCCUAACACAUGCAAGUCGAACGGGGUAAAGACUUCGGUUUUUACUUAGUGGCGAACGGGUGAGUAACGCGUGAGAAACCUGCCUUUCAGUGGGGGACAACAGUUGGAAACGACUGCUAAUACCGCAUAAUGUUAUUUGGGGGCAUCCCUGAAUAACCAAAGAUUUAUUGCUGAAAGAUGGUCUCGCGUCUGAUUAGCUAGUUGGUGAGGUAACGGCUCACCAAGGCGACGAUCAGUAGCCGACCUGAGAGGGUGACCGGCCACAUUGGGACUGAGACACGGCCCAA
rnacentral:rRNA from 1 species